GUUUGGUCUUUUGAGGCAAAGUUCUGAGACACUCCGACUCUGAAUAUGAUAGAAGUCAGUGCACUACAGAACUUUGUCUCU
ensembl:miRNA MIR148A microRNA 148a